GGCGCCGUGGCUUAGUUGGUUAACGCGACUGUCUAUUAUACAGGAGAUCAGAAGUUUGAUUCUCGUUGGGGCCU
rnacentral:tRNA from 1 species